rnacentral:rRNA from 1 species
UACGUAGGGUGCAAGCGUUGUCCGGAAUUAUUGGGCGUAAAGAGCUUGUAGGCGGUUUGUCGCGUCUGCUGUGAAAUUUCGGGGCUCAACCCCGAACUUGCAGUGGGUACGGGCAGACUAGAGUGUGGUAGGGGAGACUGGAAUUCCUGGUGUAGCGGUGAAAUGCGCAGAUAUCAGGAGGAACACCGAUGGCGAAGGCAGCUCGCUGGGACGGUACUGACGCUGAGGCACGAAAGCGUGGGGAGCAAACAGG